rnacentral:rRNA from 1 species
UACGUAGGGGGCAAGCGUUGUCCGGAAUUAUUUGGGCGUAAAGAGCGUGUAGGCGGUCCGGUAAGUCAGCUGUGAAAGUCAAGGGCUCAACCCUUGAAUGCCGGUUGAUACUGUCGGGCUAGAGUCCGGAAGAGGCGAGUGGAAUUCCCGGUGUAGCGGUGAAAUGCGCAGAUAUCAGGAGGAACACCGAUGGCGAAGGCAGGUCUCUGGGCCACUACUGACGCUGAGAAGCGAAAGCAUGGGGAGCGAACAGG